rnacentral:rRNA from 1 species
GACGAACGCUGGCGGCGUGCUUAACACAUGCAAGUCGAACGGAAAGGCCCUGCUUGCAGGGUACUCGAGUGGCGAACGGGUGAGUAACACGUGGGUGAUCUGCCCUGCACUUCGGGAUAAGCCUGGUAAACUGGGUCUAAUACCGGAGAGGAGCCAUUAUUAGUGUGAUGGUUGGAAAGUUUUUUCGGUGUAGGAUGAGCGCGCGGCCUAUCAGCGUGUUGGUGGGGUAAUGGCCUACUAAGGCGGCGACGGGUAGCCGGCCUGAGAGGGUGGACGGCCACAUUGGGACUGAGAUACGGGCCAGACUCCUACGGGAGGCAGCAGUGGGGAAUAUUGCACAAUGGGCGCAAGCCUGAUGCAGCGACGCCGCGUGGGGGAUGACGGCCUUCGGGUUGUAAACUCCUUUCGCUAGGGACGAAGAGUUUGUGACGGUACCUAGAUAAGAAGCACCGGCUAACUACGUG